GGCUCGUUGGUCUUGGGGUAUGAUUCUCACUUCGGGUGCGAGAGGUCCUGGGUUCAACUCUGGGACGAGCCC
rnacentral:tRNA from 1 species